GACGAACGCUGGCGGCGUGCUUAACACAUGCAAGUCGAACGGUGAAGGGGUCUGCUUUUGUGGGCCCUGGAUGAGUGGCGAACGGGUGAGUAACACGUGAGUAACCUGCCCCCUUCUUCUGGAUAACCGCAUGAAAGUGUGGCUAAUACGGGAUAUUCUGGGUCUGUCGCAUGAUGGGUCUGGGAAAGAUUGCGCCUUUGGGUGUUUUUGGUGGGGGAUGGGCUCGCGGCCUAUCAGCUUGUUGGUGGGGUGAUGGCCUACCAAGGCGGUGACGGGUAGCCGGCCUGAGAGGGUGGACGGUCACACUGGGACUGGGACACGGCCCAGACUCCUACGGGAGGCAGCAGUGGGGAAUAUUGCACAAUGGGCGCAAGCCUGAUGCAGCGACGCCGCGUGAGGGAUGGAGGCCUUCGGGUUGUAAACCUCUUUCGCCAGUGAAGCAGGCCUGCUCCGUGUGGGUGGGUUGACGGUAGCUGGAUAAGAAGCGCCGGCUAACUACGUG
rnacentral:rRNA from 1 species